rnacentral:rRNA from 1 species
UACGGAGGGUGCAAGCGUUAUCCGGAUUCACUGGGUUUAAAGGGUGCGUAGGCGGGCAUGUAAGUCAGUGGUGAAAUCUCCGGGCUUAACCCGGAAACUGCCGUUGAUACUAUAGAUCUUGAAUAUCCUGGAGGUGAGCGGAAUAUGUCAUGUAGCGGUGAAAUGCUUAGAUAUGACAUAGAACACCAAUUGCGAAGGCAGCUCACUACGGGAUCAUUGACACUGAGGCACGAAAGCGUGGGGAUCAAACAGG